UAUGGCGACUGGCGCACGGGUGAGUAACACGUAUCCAACCUGCCGAUGACUCGGGGAUAGCCUUUCGAAAGAAAGAUUAAUACCCGAUGGCAUAGUUCUUCCGCAUGGUAGAACUAUUAAAGAAUUUCGGUCAUCGAUGGGGAUGCGUUCCAUUAGGUUGUUGGCGGGGUAACGGCCCACCAAGCCUUCGAUGGAUAGGGGUUCUGAGAGGAAGGUCCCCCACAUUGGAACUGAGACACGGUCCAA
rnacentral:rRNA from 1 species